AAUUGAAGAGUUUGAUCAUGGCUCAGAUUGAACGCUGGCGGCAGGCCUAACACAUGCAAGUCGAACGGUAACAGGAAGCAGCUUGCUGCUUUGCUGACAAGUGGCGGACGGGUGAGUAAUGUCUGGGAAACUGCCUGAUGGAGGGGGAUAACUACUGGAAACGGUAGCUAAUACCGCAUAACGUCGCAAGACCAAAGAGGGGGACCUUCGGGCCUCUUGCCAUUGGAUGUGCCCAGAUGGGAUUAGCUAGUAGGUGGGGUAACGGCUCACCUAGGCGACGAUCCCUAGCUGGUCUGAGAGGAUGACCAGCCACACUGGAACUGAGACACGGUCCAGACUCCUACGGGAGGCAGCAGUGGGGAAUAUUGCACAAUGGGCCCAAGCCUGAUGCAGCCAUGCCGCGUGUAUGAAGAAGGCCUUCGGGUUGUAAAGUACUUUCAGCGGGGAGGAAGGGAGUAAAGUUAAUACCUUUGCUCAUUGACGUUACCCGCAGAAGAAGCACCGGCUAACUCCGUGCCAGCAGCCGCGGUAAUACGGAGGGUGCAAGCGUUAAUCGGAAUUACUGGGCGUAAAGCGCACGCAGGCGGUUUGUUAAGUCAGAUGUGAAA
rnacentral:rRNA from 1 species